GAUGAACGCUGGCGGCGUGCCUAAUACAUGCAAGUCGAGCGAACAGAUGAGGAGCUUGCUCCUCUGACGUUAGCGGCGGACGGGUGAGUAACACGUGGAUAACCUACCUAUAAGACUGGGAUAACUUCGGGAACCCGGAGCUAAUACCGGAUAAUAUAUUGAACCGCAUGGUUCAAUAGUGAAAGACGGUUUUGCUGUCACUUAUAGAUGGAUCCGCGCCGCAUUAGCUAGUUGGUAAGGUAACGGCUUACCAAGGCGACGAUGCGUAGCCGACCUGAGAGGGUGAUCGGCCACACUGGAACUGAGACACGGUCCAGACUCCUACGGGAGGCAGCAGUAGGGAAUCUUCCGCAAUGGGCGAAAGCUUGACGGAGCAACGCCGCGUGAGUGAUGAAGGUCUUCGGAUCGUAAAACUCUGUUAUUAGGGAAGAACAAAUGUGUAAGUAACUAUGCACGUCUUGACGGUACCUAAUCAGAAAGCCACGGCUAACUACGUG
rnacentral:rRNA from 1 species